GGCCCGUAGGUGAAGCAAACCCGCGCUCAAUGUACCGCGGGAGUGCGGCUCUGCUUUUCCUCCGGCAGUAGGCGGCCGCCGCCGCGCCUCCCGCGCCCUCGCCGCCUCGUCUUCUCCGCGUUUAAGCGAAACUGAACUGCAAGUUCGAGGCGUACGCGCCUCGCGUUGCGGGUUUUCAGGCGGCAGACAGAGGUGUCGACGGCCGGACCAUGGAGCGGCGGCCCUGCGAAAUCCAGAUCGACGAUGAAUCGGCUGCUUCAUUGGCUAUAGGAAAGGGAUCACCCUGCAAACACGAUGGCAAGACAAGGAAAUAUUCAAGGCCAGAACUUCCAGAGGUGAGUCUUUAUUCCAUGGUGACAAUCUUCAUGAGCAUUCUAUACAAGAGGUUGAUAUGGACACAGAGGAUACCGAUGACGCUGAUGAUACAGCAGUUAACACCCAGUCUGGAAGCUCAAAGAAGGCCAUACCUGAAUCAGCAGAUGAUGUACCUGAUCAAGGAGGCAAAACUAGGAACUGGGAGCUUGGCUAUGGAGAAACAGAGCUGGAUAUCGCUAUCGCGUUCUCAAUGUGAAUGAAAUGUCUCAGUGCUACUAUGGAGUCUCACCCUUUCUUCUGUCAAAUUUGGAACAACUUCAUGGCCUGAUCAAGAGAAAAACUCUGGUUACUCUGUUUUCACGAAUUACUAUCUAACUGGACGAGUUCGGAUAUCGUUUUUCCAGCUGUGCUGCUUUGGAGCAGUUGAAACUCAGGAGAUGCCCCAAGAUAACUUGCUUGAAGAUACCUUCUCAGCAGCAGCGGCUCAGCUACCUGCAAGUGUUAGGAUGCCACAAACUGCGGAUGAUAAAGAUCGAAGCUCCAAAUAUUUGUAGUUUUCACUUUAUUACAUUUGACCAAGUAGAGGUCUCACUUUGGAGAAUCAUUGCGACUGAAGAAUGUCGAUAUGAUCUGUUGCCGCCUCCUCCAUUAUGCACUUGAAGAGCUGCCAUCAAUUGCACCGAAUCUUGAAACUUUUAGCAUACACUCACUUCGUCGGCCAUAUUCUAAAACUUCUCAUGAUGUUUUUCUUGGAAGGGAACCUUUUGGGAUUAUUCAGUAUCAUUAUGCAUAGAACAAUUGUGUACCUUGGAAUAUUAAUUGACAUGUGGCAUGUU